rnacentral:rRNA from 1 species
UGGGGAAUCUUGGACAAUGGGCGCAAGCCUGAUCCAGCCAUGCCGCGUGAGUGAAGAAGGCCUUCGGGUUGUAAAGCUCUUUUACCAGGGACGAUAAUGACGGUACCUGGAGAAUAAGCCCCGGCAAACUUCGUGCCAGCAGCCGCGGUAAUACGAAGGGGGCUAGCGUUGUUCGGAAUUACUGGGCGUAAAGCGCACGUAGGCGGAUUGUUAAGUCAGAGGUGAAAUCCCGGAGCUCAACUUCGGAACUGCCUUUGAUACUGGCAAUCUAGAGUCCGGAAGAGGUUAGUGGAAUUCCCAGUGUAGAGGUGAAAUUCGUAGAUAUUGGGAGGAACACCUGUGGCGAAGGCGGCCACCUGGUUGGAUACUGACGCUGAGACGCGAAAGCGUGGGGAG